ACUUAAAGCAACAAGUUCAACGAGUCAAACGAAAAAAAAAAAAAAAAAAAAAACCGAAACGACACACGCUUUUUGUUACCUGUUGUUCUUCUGUUGCUUCGCUUUA
rnacentral:ribozyme from 14 species